rnacentral:rRNA from 1 species
AACGAACGCUGGCGGCAUGCCUAACACAUGCAAGUCGAACGAGACCUUCGUGUCUAGUGGCGCACGGGUGCGUAACGCGUGGGAACCUGCCCUUAGGUUCGGAAUAACUCCCCGAAAGGGGUGCUAAUACCGGAUAAUGUCUUCGGACCAAAGAUUUGUCGCCUUUGGAUGGGCCCGCGUUGGAUUAGCUUGUUGGUAGGGUAAAAGCCUACCAAGGCGACGAUCCAUAGCUGGUCUGAGAGGAUGAUCAGCCACACUGGGACUGAGACACGGCCCAGACUCCUACGGGAGGCAGCAGUGGGGAAUAUUGGACAAUGGGCGAAAGCCUGAUCCAGCAAUGCCGCGUGAGUGAUGAAGGCCUUAGGGUUGUAAAGCUCUUUUACCCGGGAUGAUAAUGACAGUACCGGGAGAAUAAGCUCCGGCUAACUCCGUG